rnacentral:sRNA from 1 species
CCUACUGCGGGGUUCCCUGUUCUCGGGCUCCUCCUGAUCCCAUCCCCUAGCUCUCCUUUUCCCGGGGAUCGACUGGAUCCCGGCCCCGCCCCCUGGGGCUGGGGCGAUCCCCCUCCCCCGCCGGGUGAGGCGCUGCGGGCGGGGGCUGGGCCUGCGGGGCCGCGGGGGCUCAGAGGCCGCCGCCCCCUCCCGAAGGCCGUUCGCCCCCCACUCGGAGCCCUGGAUGGAGGCACCACGGCCCCAGGGCUGAGCCAGUUCUUGGGCGUGCCCUACGCCACGCCGCCCCUGGGCGCCCGCCGCUUCCA